GAUCAUGGCUCAGGACGAACGCUGGCGGCGUGCUUAACACAUGCAAGUCGAACGAGAAUCUACUGAAAGAGUUUUCGGACAAUGGAAGUAGAGGAAAGUGGCGGACGGGUGAGUAACGCGUGAGGAACCUGCCUUGAAGAGGGGGACAACAGUUGGAAGCGACUGCUAAUACCGCAUGAAGCAUAGGGGUCGCAUGAUCUUUAUGCCAAAGAUUUAUCGCUUCAAGAUGG
rnacentral:rRNA from 1 species